UGCCUCUCCAGGGCUUACAGCCCAACCCGCUAGUCUUCGGUUUGCCGCCAAUCACUGCACUCACCUCAUUGACCGGCUCGAAAACAGGCCAAUUGACACCACUAGCCCCGCCCCCUACGAAGAAGAGUCCGGCACCAUUACUUGUUCGUGUUCAGAUGCAGCAGCACACUAGUCAUCCUAAGAAAAAAAGGAGUGUGCCGGAAGCUCUGCUUCCCCUCCCUUCAAAGCCAGACCUCCUUAACCACUCAGCGCUUGGGAAAAUGAUUCUAGUUGUACUUUUUCCUGUUACUGGGUUAAUUGGAAAGUAUUUGUAUUUGUUGUGCUUUUCCCAUUAAAAGGGAACAUUGCUGUA